UUUAUCUUGGCAGUAAAUAUACCACAAUUGGAACAAUACAGAAUAGAUUAGAAUGGCCCUUGUGACAUGCAAAUUUGUGAAGCAUUCAGUAUUUUC
rfam:Cavia porcellus supercont2_7 genomic scaffold, whole genome shotgun sequence.